rnacentral:rRNA from 1 species
GAUGAACGCUGGCGGCGUGCCUAAUACAUGCAAGUCGAGCGAACGGACGAGAAGCUUGCUUCUCUGAUGUUAGCGGCGGACGGGUGAGUAACACGUGGAUAACCUACCUAUAAGACUGGGAUAACUUCGGGAAACCGGAGCUAGUACCGGAUAAUAUUUUGAACCGCAUGGUUCAAAAGUGAAAGACGGUCUUGCUGUCACUUAUAGAUGGAUCCGCGCUGCAUUAGCUAGUUGGUAAGGUAACGGCUUACCAAGGCAACGAUGCAUAGCCGACCUGAGAGGGUGAUCGGCCACACUGGAACUGAGACACGGUCCAGACUCCUACGGGAGGCAGCAGUAGGGAAUCUUCCGCAAUGGGCGAAAGCCUGACGGAGCAACGCCGCGUGAGUGAUGAAGGUCUUCGGAUCGUAAAACUCUGUUAUUAGGGAAGAACAUAUGUGUAAGUAACUGUGCACAUCUUGACGGUACCUAAUCAGAAAGCAACGGCUAACUACGUG